AAGGUAGUAGUUUAAGAAUAAAAUAUUUGAUUUCGGGUCUUAAGAUUUCUCGGACUAUCUUU
rnacentral:tRNA from 1 species